AAAAUAUUCCUACUGAAAAGUCCUCUCUGGCCUUCUUUCUAGUCCUACAACAGAACAACAAUUCAACAUUUUCUUCGUAUUUAGUAGGUCCCUCAAAACCUAGAAUCGAAGACGAAAGCUCCUGAUCUGCAAUGCUCUGAAUCGCGAUCCAAACACCGGUCACGCUUGGCCUUGCAAUCUCGACCGCAAAAAGCCCUAGAUCUGACUCGAUCCGUCUCUGGUUGGUCUCCGCCGAUUUGCUUUCGGAAAUUGAAUCCGUCGGAUCGGUGAAAUGCCGGUGGCUGCUUCCGCCAUAUACUUCCUCAAUCUCCGCGGCGAUGUGCUUAUCAAUCGCCUCUACCGUGAUGACGUUGGGGGAAAUAUGGUUGAUGCCUUCCGAAUGCAUAUAAUGCAAACAAAAGAACUGGGAACAUGUCCUGUGCGGCAGAUUGGAGGGUGCUCUUUCUUGUACAUGCGAAUUAGCAAUGUCUAUAUUGUGAUCGUUGUCAGCAGCAAUGCUAAUGUUGCAUGUGCUUUCAAGUUUGUUGUGGAGGCUGUUGCACUGUUCAAAUCUUAUUUUGGCGGGGCCUUUGAUGAAGAUGCUAUCCGCAAUAACUUUGUUUUGAUCUAUGAGCUGUUGGAUGAGAUCAUGGACUUUGGUUAUCCCCAAAAUCUUUCUCCUGAAAUCCUGAAGCUUUAUAUCACUCAGGAAGGAGUACGGUCUCCAUUCUCUUCCAAGCCUGCAGAUAAACCAGUUCCCAAUGCAACUUUACAAGUUACAGGUGCUGUUGGCUGGCGUAGAGAGGGCCUUGUUUAUAAAAAGAAUGAAGUGUUUCUGGAUAUUGUGGAAAGUGUCAAUCUGCUUAUGUCAUCUAAAGGUAGUGUUUUGCGGUGUGAUGUAACUGGGAAAAUUCUUAUGAAGUGCUUCCUUUCUGGAAUGCCCGAUUUGAAGUUGGGUUUAAAUGAUAAAAUUGGUCUUGAGAAAGAGUCGCAAAUUAAAUCACGUCCUACUAAGAGUGGAAAGACUAUUGAGCUUGAUGAUGUUACUUUUCAUCAAUGUGUAAAUCUGACAAGAUUCAACUCAGAAAAGACUGUUAGUUUUGUGCCUCCUGAUGGUGAAUUUGAGUUGAUGAAGUAUCGUAUUACUGAGGGUGUAAAUCUACCAUUCCGGGUGUUGCCAACAAUUAAAGAACUCGGUCGGACACGGAUGGAAGUAAAUGUUAAGGUGAAGAGUGUCUUUGGUGCGAAAAUGUUUGCCCUUGGAGUUGUAGUUAAGAUUCCUGUACCAAAACAAACAGCGAAAACAAGUUUUCAAGUGACGUCUGGUAAAGCUAAGUACAAUGCUGCCAUUGAUUGCUUGGUCUGGAAGAUAAGGAAAUUUCCUGGACAAACUGAGACAACAUUGAGUGCAGAAGUAGAGUUGAUUUCCACGAUGACGGAGAAGAAGUCUUGGACCAGGCCACCAAUUCAGAUGGAAUUUCAGGAAAUUACAAGAAUUGUCCACACUAAGGGGCAUGGGAAGGUUCGACCCCACGGCCUCAUGUUUACCAUGAGGGGUGGAUCACCACCUGAGCCAUCCUUGGAGACUGCUUUAGAUGAAGUUUGACUACUGUUUGAGGUUCCAGAUGGGUAGACUCAUGCAUGGAGUGAGAGAUUGAUUUGUGUCUGUCUGUGUGCGUGCAUGGGUGGGGUGGUGUGCUUAUGCACUUGCACUUGCUUUUGAACCACUAAUCUCAAAGGUUGGUAGACCAAGUGGAUGCCACUUGGACUACUGGAAUUAUAAAGGAGCAUUAGAAUGGAUGCCAACUUCCCAAUUGUUUGUGUGCUGAUAAUGAUGACGAUGCGGUAUCCCCUAAAGGUUCCUAUGUUCACUGCAUCUGGAUUACGUGUCCGAUUUCUCAAGGUAUGGGAAAAGAGCGGGUACAAUACAGUCGAGUGGGUCCGUUACAUAACCAAAGCCGGGUCAUAUGAGGUUAGGUGCUAGGAAAAAUAAAUUG